GUUCUUUAUCGCUUUGUUAUACAAUAUGGACAAACAAUCAAAGAAACAGCUUGAUCAUAUGAUUGCAUUUAUGGAUAAAGAAGCAGAAGAAAAGUCAGAAGAGAUUAGAAUUAAAGCAAAAGAAGAAUUUAAUAUUGAAAAAGGAAAACUCCUCUCUCAGA